rnacentral:rRNA from 1 species
CAGUCGCCGCGGUAAUACGGAGGGGGCUAGCGUUGUUCGGAAUUACUGGGCGUAAAGCGCACGUAGGCGGCUUGGUAAGUUAGAGGUGAAAGCCUGGAGCUCAACUCCAGAAUUGCCUUUAAGACUGCCGAGCUAGCAGGUGAGAGAGGUAAGUGGAAUUCCGAGUGUAGAGGUGAAAUUCGUAGAUAUUCGGAAGAACACCAGUGGCGAAGGCGGCUUACUGGCUCAUACUGGACGCUGAGGUGCGAAAGCGUGGGGAGCAAACAGGAUUAGAGACCCCAGUAGUCCCUGUCUCUUAUAC